AAGGUUUUAAGUACACAGGUCAUCGAGGCCACGGCCGGCGGAAAGCAAAGGGCCGAAGGAAUCGGGUUGUGCCCCAGGACAAGGCGCGCGGAACGAGUGGACUCCGAAACCCACGGAAAUGAAGCGAGACCCCAGGCGGGCGGCGGUGGAGGCGCCUUGCGACCUUGGGUGACUGACAAGCAGGAUGCCUGGGUUCCGAUCCCCACCCCAGUCUGGCCGCCUCUCCCUGACCCUUAGCCCUACCGCUGCCUGCUGAUGUGUCCACCACCCUCAUUCUCGGUUAGUGCUCUCCCUCCCUCCCGUCGGGGCCAUCCAGGCUCUAUGAGACCAUACUAUUUUUUCCUUCUGCA
ensembl:lncRNA